AGAGUUCGAUCAUGGCUCAGGAUGAACGCUGGCGGCGCGCCUAACACAUGCAAGUCGAACGAAGCACCUUACUUGAUUCUUCGGAUGAAGGUCUGGUGACUGAGUGGCGGACGGGUGAGUAACGCGUGGGUAACCUGCCCUGUACAGGGGGAUAACAGUUGGAAACGGCUGCUAAUACCGCAUAAGCGCACGAGAGGACAUCCUCUUGUGUGAAAAACUCCGGUGGUACAGGAUGGGCCCGCGUCUGAUUAGCUGGUUGGCAGGGUAACGGCCUACCAAGGCGACGAUCAGUAGCCGGUCUGAGAGGAUGAACGGCCACAUUGGAACUGAGACACGGUCCAA
rnacentral:rRNA from 1 species